rnacentral:rRNA from 1 species
GACGAACCGUGCAAACGUUAUUCGGAAUCACUGGGCGUAAAGGGCGCGUAGGCGGCCUUCUAAGUCGAACGUGAAAUCCCCGGGCUCAACCCGGGAACUGCGUCCGAUACUGGAAGGCUCGAAUCCGGGAGAGGGAUGCGGAAUUCCAGGUGUAGCGGUGAAAUGCGUAGAUAUCAGGAGGAACACCGGUGGCGAAGGCGGGUCUCUGGGCCGUAACUGACGCUGAGGAGCGAAAGCGUGGGGAGCGAACAGG